rnacentral:rRNA from 2 species
CUGUCGUCAGCUCGUGUUGUGAAAUGUUGGGUUAAGUCCCGCAACGAGCGCAACCCUUAUCCUUUGUUGCCAGCGGUCCGGCCGGGAACUCAAAGGAGACUGCCAGUGAUAAACUGGAGGAAGGUGGGGAUGACGUCAAGUCAUCAUGGCCCUUACGAGUAGGGCUACACACGUGCUACAAUGGCGCAUACAAAGAGAAGCGACCUCGCGAGAGCAAGCGGACCUCAUAAAGUGCGUCGUAGUCCGGAUUGGAGUCUGCAACUCGACUCCAUGAAGUCGGAAUCGCUAGUAAUCGUGGAUCAGAAUGCCACGGUGAAUACGUUCCCGGGCCUUGUACACACCGCCCGUCACACCAUGGGAGUGGGUUGCAAAAGAAGUAGGUAGCUUAACCUUCGGGAGGGCGCUUACCACUUUGUGAUUCAUGACUGGGGUGAAGUCGUAACAAGGUAACCGUAGGGGAACCUGCGGUUGGAUCACCUCCUUACCUUAAAGAA